rnacentral:rRNA from 1 species
CCUACGGGCGGCAGCAGUCGAGAAUCAUUCACAAUGGGGGAAACCCUGAUGGUGCGACGCCGCGUGGGGGAAUGAAGGUCUUCGGAUUGUAAACCCCUGUCAUGUGGGAGCAAAUUAAAAAGAUAGUACCACAAGAGGAAGAGACGGCUAACUCUGUGCCAGCAGCCGCGGUAAUACAGAGGUCUCAAGCGUUGUUCGGAAUCACUGGGCGUAAAGCGUGCGUAGGCUGUUUCGUAAGUCGUGUGUGAAAGGCGCGGGCUCAACCGGCGGACGGCACAUGAUACUGGGAGACUAGAGGAAUGGAGGGGGAACCGGAAUUCUCGGUGUAGCAGUGAAAUGCGUAGAUAUCGAGAGGAACACUCGUGGCGAAGGCGGGUUCCUGGACAUUAACUGACGCUGAGGCACGAAGGCCAGGGGAGCGAAAGGGAUUAGAUACCCGGGUAGUC